UACGUAGGGGGCAAGCGUUGUCCGGAAUCACUGGGCGUAAAGCGCACGUAGGCGGCUUUUUAAGUCAGGGGUGAAAUCCUGGAGCUCAACUCCAGAACUGCCUUUGAUACUGAGAAGCUUGAGUUCGGGAGAGGUGAGUGGAACUGCGAGUGUAGAGGUGAAAUUCGUAGAUAUUCGCAAGAACACCAGUGGCGAAGGCGGCUCACUGGCCCGAUACUGACGCUGAGGCACGAAAGCGUGGGGAGCAAACAGG
rnacentral:rRNA from 1 species